UGAGCAAUCUGCCCUUCUCAUCGGAAUAAGCGUUGGAAACGACGUCUAAUGCCGAAUACGACCUCCUUUCGCAUGAUCGGAGGUGGAAAGCUCCGGCGGAGAAGGAUGAGCUCGCGGCCUAUCAGCUGGUUGGUGAGGUAACGGCUCACCAAGGCAACGACGGGUAGCUGGUCUGAGAGGAUGGCCAGCCACAUUGGGACUGAGACACGGCCCAGACUCCG
rnacentral:rRNA from 1 species